rnacentral:rRNA from 1 species
AACGAACGCUGGCGUCAGGCCUAACACAUGCAAGUCGAGCGAGACCUUCGGGUCUAGCGGCGGACGGGUUAGGUAACGCGUGGGAACGUGCCCUUCUCUGCGGAAUAGCACUGGAAACGGUGAGUAAUACCGCAUACGCCCUUCCGGGGGAAAGAUUUAUCGGAGAAGGAUCGGCCCGCGUUAGAUUAGAUAGUUGGUGGGGUAACGGCCUACCAAGUCUACGAUCUAUAGCUGGUUUUAGAGGAUGAUCAGCAACACUGGGACUGAGACACGGCCCAGACUCCUACGGGGAGGCAGCAGUGGGGAAUCUUAGACAAUGGGCGCAAGCCUGAUCUAGCCAUGCCGCGUGUGUGAUGAAGGUCUUAGGAUCGUAAAGCACUUUCGCCAGGGAUGAUAAUGACAGUACCUGGUAAAGAAACCCCGGCUAACUCCGUG